GAUGAACGCUGGCGGCGUGCCUAAUACAUGCAAGUCGAGCGAACAGACGAGGAGCUUGCUCCUCUGACGUUAGCGGCGGACGGGUGAGUAACACGUGGAUAACCUACCUAUAAGACUGGGAUAACUUCGGGAAACCGGAGCUAAUACCGGAUAAUAUAUUGAACCGCAUGGUUCAAUAGUGAAAGACGGUUUUGCUGUCACUUAUAGAUGGAUCCGCGCCGAAUCAGCUAGUUGGUAAGGUAACGCCUUACCAAGGCGACGAUGCGAAGCCGACCUGAGAGGGGGAUCGGCCACACUGGACCUGAGACACGGUCCAGACUCCUACGGGAGGAAGCAGUAGGGAAUCUUCCGCAAUGGGCGAAAGCCUGACGGAGCAACGCCGGGUGAGUGAGGAAGGUCUUCGGAUCGUAAAACUCUGUUAUUAGGGAAGAACAAAUGUGUAAGUAACUAUGCACGUAUUGACGGUACCUAAUCAGAAAGCCACGGCUAACUACGUG
rnacentral:rRNA from 1 species